GUGGAGCAUGUGGCUUAAUUUGACUCAACACGGGAAAUCUUACCGGGUCCGGACAUACCGAGGAUUGACAGACUGUUAACUGCAACACAAGCUGCUAAGUUUUAAACUUAAUAGCUCUUUCAUGAUUAUAUGAUAGGUGGUGCAUGGCCGUUCUUAGUUCGUGGAGUGAUCUGUCUGCUUAAUUGCGUUUCAAAAUUUAAACCUGAGCGACAAGGUGCUGCUAUCGAAACUGUCUUUGAGUGUGAACUAUAAGUCUUUUGACUUAUGACCAUCACUCUAGACGUUUAUGUUUUGGUGUUGGCCCUUGAUGCUCAUUUGAACGCAACGGACGUGAUUGCAACCCCUUGUUGAGAUUUAUCCGAUCUCUACGUUCACUGAACCACACUCUUUAGCGAGAGCAGUGGGGAUGUGGAUAAACUCGGGGGA
rnacentral:rRNA from 1 species